GACAGAGGAUGCAAGCGUUAUCCGGAAUGAUUGGGCGUAAAGCGUCUGUAGGUGGCUUUUUAAGUCUGCCGUCAAAUCCCAGGGCUUAACCCUGGACAGGCGGUGGAAACUACAUAGCUAGAGUACGUUCGGGGCAGAGGGAAUUCCUGGUGUAGCGGUGAAAUGCGUAGAGAUCAGGAAGAACACCGGUGGCGAAGGCGCUCUGCUAGGCCGUAACUGACACUGAGGGACGAAAGCUAGGGGAGCGAAUGGG
rnacentral:rRNA from 1 species